UACGGGGGGGGCAAGGCGUUGCUCGGAAUCACUGGGCGUAAAGGGUGCGUAGGCGGGUCUUUUAAGUCAGGGGUGAAAUCCUGGAGCUCAACUCCAGAACUGCCUUUGAUACUGAGGAUCUUGAGUUCGGGAGAGGUGAGUGGAACUGCGAGUGUAGAGGUGAAAUUCGUAGAUAUUCGCAAGAACACCAGUGGCGAAGGCGGCUCACUGGCCCGAUACUGACGCUGAGGCACGAAAGCGUGGGGAGCAAACAGGG
rnacentral:rRNA from 1 species